rnacentral:rRNA from 1 species
GACGAACGCUGGCGGCGUGCUUAACACAUGCAAGUCGAACGGAAAGGCCCUGCUUUUGUGGGGUGCUCGAGUGGCGAACGGGUGAGUAACACGUGAGUAACCUGCCCUUGACUUUGGGAUAACUUCAGGAAACUGGGGCUAAUACCGGAUAGGAGCUCCUGCUGCAUGGUGGGGGUUGGAAAGUUUCGGCGGUUGGGGAUGGACUCGCGGCUUAUCAGCUUGUUGGUGGGGUAGUGGCUUACCAAGGCAUGGACGGGUAGCCGGCCUGAGAGGGUGACCGGCCACAUUGGGACUGAGAGACGGACCAGACUCCUACGGGAGGCAGCAGUGGGGAAUAUUGCACAAUGGGCGGAAGCCUGAUGCAGCAACGCCGCGUGCGGGAUGACGGCCUUCGGGUUGUAAACCGCUUUCGCCUGUGACGAAGCGUGAGUGACGGUAAUGGGUAAAGAAGCACCGGCUAACUACGUG